GAUGAACGCUGGCGGCGUGCCUAAUACAUGCAAGUCGAGCGAACAGACGAGGAGCUUGCUCCUCUGACGUUAGCGGCGGACGGGUGAGUAACACGUGGAUAACCUACCUAUAAGACUGGGAUAACUUCGGGAAACCGGAGCUAAUACCGGAUAAUAUAUUGAACCGCAUGGUUCAAUAGUAAAAGAGGGUUUUGCUGUCACUUAUAGAUGGAUCCGCGCCGCAUUAGCUAGUUGGUAAGGUAACGGCUUACCAAGGCAACGAUGCGUAGCCGACCUGAGAGGGUGAUCGGCCACACUGGAACUGAGACACGGUCCAGACUCCUACGGGAGGCAGCAGUAGGGAAUCUUCCGCAAUGGGCGAAAGCCUGACGGAGCAACGCCGCGUGAGUGAUGAAGGUCUUCGGAUCGUAAAACUCUGUUAUUAGGGAAGAACAAAUGUGUAAGUAACUAUGCACGUCUUGACGGUACCUAAUCAGAAAGCCACGGCUAACUACGUG
rnacentral:rRNA from 1 species